AAGUAGCAUACUAACAUCUGCUUGACUGUUUCAGGUGCUUUAGUUGCUUAGUUCCUUGUGAACUUUUUGCUUUGCUUUGCUUGUAUAAGCAAUUUGCAUUGAGGUACGCCUCCUUUACUUCAUGUAGUCUGGAAGACCUGGUCUGUUACUUGGCCAGGCAACUGUCUGAAGUCCUCCUUAAGAGGCAAUGUUUGUGGAUGUUUA
rnacentral:lncRNA from 1 species